AGAAUGGUGUGACAGCUCUACACUGUGCAAGUAAUGAGGGACAUGUAGAUAUAGUAAGAAUCCUACUAGAUGCAUCAGUUGACAAGGAUGCUCAAGAUGAGAAUGGUGUGACAGCUCUACACCAUGCAAGUAAUAAGGGACAUGUAGAUAUAGUAAGAAUCCUACUAGAUGCAUCAGUUGACAAGGAUGCCCAAAACAAGGAUGGAAUUAAUGCACUACAUGUAGCAAGUUACAAUGGACAAGUAGACAUAGUAAAAUUGUUAUUAGAUGCCUCUGUUGUCAAAGAUGCC